UAUGCAGAUGUGAGACCAUCCUGAGCUGUUCCUAUUAUUUGUAAGAAAGCAGUGAUAUUUUCGUAUGCUUCUCUAUGGAAAUGGAUUUAUUUAGAAUUUUCUUCUUUUUUGGUUUGGGCAGAGGAGCGUCACCCUGUGGCCACCAGAAGCACAGGCUUAGGAGGAGUACUUCCAGGCUACCGCCAAUGACCCUUCAAAGCUCAAAGGCUCUUCAGUCAGCUUGUGUUUCUGUCAGUCAGAAAUCCAGUGGCAGCUUAGCUGGGACCUCCAAUUUAGUGUCUUUCAUGAGGCUGCAAUCAAGGUGUCAUCAAGAGAUGGAGUCUCAUCUGAAGGCUCCACAGAGACAGCAAGACCAACUCUUCCCCUCAGGAGGAGGAUGAAAGAGGCUGAGGAGAAGGAAGACUUUUAUGAUGAUCCACUUCCACCUAA